rnacentral:rRNA from 1 species
UACGUAGGGUCCGAGCGUUGUCCGGAAUUACUGGGCGUAAAGAGCUCGUAGGUGGUUUGUCGCGUUGUUCGUGAAAACUCACAGCUCAACUGUGGGCGUGCGGGCGAUACGGGCAGACUUGAGUACUGCAGGGGAGAAUGGAAUUCCUGGUGUAGCGGUGAAAUGCGCAGAUAUCAGGAAGAACACCCGUGGCGAAGGCGGUUCUCUGGGACGGUACUGACGCUGAGACGCGAAAGCGUGGGGAGCAAACAGG